ACGCAUAUCGCCAGCCCUGGUCCGGUCUUGUAUUAUCAUUUCAUAACAAUAACACAAAAAUGUCAUUUACACAAAAACUAAAUUAUUACGCCAAACGAAAAUCAUUUAAAUAUGGUGUACCAUUUCUAAUUACGAUGGUAGCCGGCUCGUUUGGACUGCAACAGUUUUCUAAUCUAAGAUAUCAGUACUCCAAAAUGCAACCUGUCUCGCCGGAAGAAAUGAAGAAGUACGGCGUGAGUAUGAAGAAACGUCAAGAAGUAACGCUCGAAACAGAAUAUGAUAAGGUUAAAGGCAUCGACAUUGACAAUUGGUCAAACAAGCGAGGUCCACGGCCGUGGGAAGAGGAGGAGCUAGCGGCUUUAUCUGCAGCCAAAUAAUUAUUGUGAAACAUAUGUGAUAAUUGCCUUUUGCAGCCCUGAAUAAUCGGCGGAAUAUGUAUGUACAUAUAUCAGGGCUGCCAACCUGCUCAAAUCAGCUGCGACGCUUUGGCAAAUAUUUUCAACCUAAAAAUGGGAGAAGUUAAACCCGUAAAAAUGGAUAGCUGGGCUCCAUCUGAUGCAGCUACAAUAUUUGCAGAUGGGGAACGUGUGCUAUGUUUCCACGGGCCGCUUAUCUACGAAGCCAAAGUACUCAAAACAAAGCCCGAAAGUUCGCCGGUUGAAUAUUACAUACACUAUGCGGGCUGGAGCAAAAACUGGGACGAGUGGGUACCAGAGAGUCGUGUGCUAAAAUACAAUGAGGAUAACGUGAAGCGCCAAAAAGAACUUGCCCGAGUGUAUGGUGAACGCUCAAAGAAGGACAACAAGAAAGGCAGUGCAAAAGCCAAGAAAAUGGAGCAAGUUGGCAAUGAAUCUCGUGCGUCGACGCCCUCCAAAGAUGG